rnacentral:rRNA from 1 species
UUAGCAAAUGGGGAUUAGAUACCCCAGUAGUCCACACCGUAAACGAUGGGUAUUAGAUAUUAGGGCUUUAGCUUUAGUGUUGUAGCUUACGCGUUAAAUACCCCGCCUGGGUAGUACAUAUGCAAAUAUGAAACUCAAAGGAAUUGACGGGGACCUGAACAAGUGGUGGAGCAUGUUGCUUAAUUCGAUAAUACACGAAAAACCUUACCAAGGUUUGACAUCCCUCGCAAAGCUAUAGAAAUAUAGUAGAGGUUAUCGAGGUGACAGGUGGUGCAUGGCUGUCGUCAGCUCGUGUCUUGAGAUGUUUGGUUAAGUCCCGCAACGAGCGCAACCCCACUCUUUAGUUACUUGUCUAAAGAGACUGCACAGUAAUGUAGAGGAAGGAUGGGAUCACGUCAAGUCAUCAUGCCCCUUAUGCCUUGGGCUGCAAACGUGCUACAAUGGCGAACACAAUGUGUUAC